GCUAGCGUCGAAGUGUUUUGCAUUUACUUUAUUCAUCACCAUUUAACGCUGCUGUUGGUUAACUAUUUGCUGAUAUCACUUACCUGCUGCAAUGUAUUCAUGAAAUCACCACAGCUCUCAACUAAUUCCUGAGGUCGAACAGCAGACACCUGUCCACUAUUGACCCUAGGCGGUACCAACAGUUUGAAGUUAAAACCCCGGUCUCUCUCCAUCCUGAAAUGGACACAUUGACACAGCUUUAAGCAUUCGAUAGUUGUAUCCCAUCCCUGCAAACAGGAAGACACUGGAGACAAUGAGGAGGAUCCCACAGCCCUGGUUUGGGUUUUGGUCCUAUAGGCCGCAUGAGGGAACCAGCGACACAGCAAUUGAGGAGCAAACCACCCAGGAUCAAGAAACUUCCUCUCCAGCCAAAGCGGUCAAAUAGCAAGUCUCACCUCCACCGUACAUAACCGCUAACAUGAUGGAAGAGAUCCAGGACACCUGGCUGCUGGACACGUCAAAGAUCACCUCAAUGUCUUUAAAGAAGACAGUGAUGGACUUGGGGAAUGCAUAGGAGAAUCCAAUAGAGAUGAAGGCCCCAACCACCACCAUCCAUCCCCAGCCACCCUCAGGUGGUGUGUAGCCUUGUGGACCACCGACAGCAGGCGCCAUUUUCACUCACAAAUCUCCUCUUUUCAAAUUUCAACACGUUAUACAGAUAUGAUGACCUGUUCAGGAGAGAACAAAACAGCAAAGAUAAUUACUUGAUUAGUUUUUAUUUCUUGAAAGAUUACUUUUUUAUGUUUUUGUUGAAACAUGUUGAAAACAAUUCACUGAUUGAGAGUUGUUCAAUAAACGGUUGGCUUUUUGAAAAUAAAAGACUUAAGUGAAUAUGUAUUAAUCCAGCAGUAAAUGCAUAUUAUAAAACUGUCUUGAACUUGA